AUUGAACGCUGGCGGCAGGCCUAACACAUGCAAGUCGAGCGGAUGAAGGGAGCUUGCUCCUGGAUUCAGCGGCGGACGGGUGAGUAAUGCCUAGGAAUCUGCCUGGUAGUGGGGGAUAACGUCCGGAAACGGGCGCUAAUACCGCAUACGUCCUGAGGGAGAAAGUGGGGGAUCUUCGGACCUCACGCUAUCAGAUGAGCCUAGGUCGGAUUAGCUAGUUGGUGGGGUAAAGGCCUACCAAGGCGACGAUCCGUAACUGGUCUGAGAGGAUGAUCAGUCACACUGGAACUGAGACACGGACCAGACUCCUACGGGAGGCAGCAGUGGGGAAUAUUGGACAAUGGGCGAAAGCCUGAUCCAGCAAUGCCGCGUGUGUGAAGAAGGUCUUCGGAUUGUAAAGCACUUUAAGUUGGGAGGAAGGGAAGUAAGUUAAUACCUUGCUGUUUUGACGUUACCAACAGAAUAAGCACCGGCUAACUUCGUG
rnacentral:rRNA from 1 species